GACGAACGCUGGCGGCGCGCCUAACACAUGCAAGUCGAACGAGCGAGAGAGAGCUUACUUUCUCGAGCGAGUGGCGAACGGGUGAGUAACGCGUGAGGAACCUGCCUCAAAGAGGGGGACAACAGUUGGAAACGACUGCUAAUACCGCAUAAGCCCACGGCUCGGCAUCGAGCAGAGGGAAAAGGAGCAAUCCGCUUUGAGAUGGCCUCGCGUCCGAUUAGCUAGUUGGUGAGGUAACGGCCCACCAAGGCGACGAUCGGUAGCCGGACUGAGAGGUUGAACGGCCACAUUGGGACUGAGACACGGCCCAGACUCCUACGGGAGGCAGCAGUGGGGAAUAUUGCACAAUGGGGGAAACCCUGAUGCAGCGACGCCGCGUGGAGGAAGAAGGUCUUCGGAUUGUAAACUCCUGUUGUUGAGGAAGAUAAUGACGGUACUCAACAAGGAAGUGACGGCUAACUACGUGCCAGCAGCCGCGGUAAAACGUAGGUCACAAGCGUUGUCCGGAAUUACUGGGUGUAAAGGGAGCGCAGGCGGGAAGACAAGUUGGAAGUGAAAUCCAUGGGCUCAACCCAUGAACUGCUUUCAAAACUGUUUUUCUUGAGUAGUGCAGAGGUAGGCGGAAUUCCCGGUGUAGCGGUGGAAUGCGUAGAUAUCGGGAGGAACGCCAGUGGCGAAGGCGGCCUACUGGGCACCAACUGACGCUGAGGCUCGAAAGUGUGGGUAGCAAACAGGAUUAGAUACCCUGGUAGUCCACACUGUAAACGAUGAUUACUAGGUGUUGGAGGAUUGACCCCUUCAGUGCCGCAGUUAACACAAUAAGUAAUCCACCUGGGGAGUACGACCGCAAGGUUGAAACUCAAAGGAAUUGACGGGGGCCCGCACAAGCAGUGGAGUAUGUGGUUUAAUUCGACGCAACGCGAAGAACCUUACCAAGUCUUGACAUCCUGCGACGCACAUAGAAAUAUGUGUUUCCUUCGGGACGCAGAGACAGGUGGUGCAUGGUUGUCGUCAGCUCGUGUCGUGAGAUGUUGGGUUAAGUCCCGCAACGAGCGCAACCCUUAUGGUCAGUUACUACGCAAGAGGACUCUGGCCAGACUGCCGUUGACAAAACGGAGGAAGGUGGGGAUGACGUCAAAUCAUCAUGCCCUUUAUGACUUGGGCUACACACGUACUACAAUGGCGUUAAACAAAGAGAAGCAAGACCGCGAGGUGGAGCAAAACUCAGAAACAACGUCCCAGUUCGGACUGCAGGCUGCAACUCGCCUGCACGAAGUCGGAAUUGCUAGUAAUCGCAGAUCAGCAUGCUGCGGUGAAUACGUUCCCGGGCCU
rnacentral:rRNA from 1 species